CUCUCUCUCUCUCCCUCUCUCUCUCUCUCUCUCUCUCUCCAGCAUAUUUCACAGCUUAAUCGAAUGGCUCCUUCUUCUUCUUCUUCUUCGAUUGUUACUGAUUCACUGGAUCCAUCAACACCUACCGAAACUCUUCACAACGAUCUUCAGCCAUUCUUUGUUCUUCACAAACCUUCAUCCCGAAGAAAAGAUAGCUCAUCAACAGGACAAGGUAAACUGCGAAAAAGAAAUGAGCUGUCUUCACCGCAGAACACAGAAAUAGGAAGGAAGUGUGAACGAAGAAUGUGACUCACCAUUUGUUUAAGCCGCUACAAAUUGAAGCGUUUAACCGUGGUCAAGAAUCGAGUCCACCAUUCAGGAUGUUUUAAGAGAUCUUAAUUCUAGUGUAUUUAAAGAUAUACAACGAUGGAUUCUGGAGUGCUUCAAUGCUGCUAGAUUGAUGGAGAACCUAGUAUCACAAAAGCAACUCGAUCCUUUCCUAUUCUGAGUAAUGCUACUCCUGGUCAACUGUCCACUGCAUUGGUUAUUACCGGAAAUAUAGAAUUUGUCGAUGAUAUAUUGACCUUUGAAGAGCUCGGCCAUUUCUUGAAAUCCCAUGGAUGCCAUGUAGCCAAGCUUUCUUCGGUGGAUUUUUCAAUGAAAAACGGAAUUGCUGGUU